AUUGAACGCUGGCGGCAGGCCUAACACAUGCAAGUCGAGCGAGCGGCGGACGGGUGAGUAAUGUAUGGGGAUCUGCCUGCUGGAGGGGGAUAACUACUGGAAACGGUAGCUAAUACCGCAUACCAUCAGAUGAACCCAUAUGGGAUUAGCUAGUAGGUGAGGUAACGUCUACCCUAUGCGACGAUCCCUAGCUGGUCUGAGAGGAGGACCAGCGACACUGGGACUGAGACACGGCCCAGCAUCCUACGGGAGGCAGCAGUGGGGAAUAUGGCACAAUGGGCGCAAGCCGGAUGCAGCCAUGCCGCGUGUAGGAAGAAGGCCUUCGGGUUGUAAAGUACUUUCAGUCGGGAGGCGUUACCGACAGAAGAAGCACCGGCUAACUCCGUGCCAGCAGCCGCGGUAAUUC
rnacentral:rRNA from 1 species